CUGUGCCUCGCCCUGUCCCUGCUCCUGACCACGUCCCUGUUUCGAUGCCUCUGCUUGACCCUGCGACUGUCCAUGACAAUUGUGGCCCUGAUGUGUUGUUGAGUGUGGG